ACUCCUACGGGAGGCAGCAGUAGGGAAUCUUCCGCAAUGGACGAAAGUCUGACGGAGCAACGCCGCGUGAGUGAAGAAGGUUUUCGGAUCGUAAAGCUCUGUUGUAAGAGAAGAAUGAGUGUGAGAGUGGAAAGUUCACACUGUGACGGUAUCUUACCAGAAAGGGACGGCUAACUACGUGCCAGCAGCCGCGGUAAUAC
rnacentral:rRNA from 1 species